GGAAUUUUGCACAAUGGGCGAAAGCCUGAUGCAGCAACGCCGCGUGUGUGAUGAAGGUUUUCGGAUCGUAAAGCACUUUCGACCGGGACGAAAAACGGUUGGCUAAUAUCCAACUGCCUGACGGUACCGGGAGAAGAAGCACCGGCUAACUCUGUGCCAGCAGCCGCGGUAAUACAGAGGGUGCAAGCGUUGUUCGGAAUUAUUGGGCGUAAAGCGCGUGUAGGCGGCUUUGCAAGUCGGGUGUGAAAGCCCUCAGCUCAACUGAGGAAGUGCGCCCGAAACUGCGGAGCUUGAGUACCGGAGAGGAUGGUGGAAUUCCCCAAGUAGAGGUGAAAUUCGUAGAUAUGGGGAGGAACACCAGUGGCGAAGGCGACCAUCUGGACGGAUACUGACGCUGAGACGCGAAAGCGUGGGGAGCAAAC
rnacentral:rRNA from 1 species